AAUUGCGACCCCAGGUCAGCGGGAUUACCCCGCUGAGUUUAAGAU
rnacentral:rRNA from 1 species